ensembl:snRNA U6 U6 spliceosomal RNA
GUGCUCACUUUGGCAGCACAUAUACUAAAAUUGGAAUAAGAGAAGAUUAGUAUAGCCCCUACACAAGGAUGAUAUGCAAAUUCAUGAAGCAUUCCAUUUUUUU